rnacentral:rRNA from 1 species
AUUGAACGCUGGCGGAAUGCUUUACACAUGCAAGUCGAGCGGCAGCACGGGGGCAACCCUGGUGGCGAGCGGCGAACGGGUGAGUAAUACAUCGGAACAUGCCCAGUCGUGGGGGAUAACACUUCGAAAGAAGUGCUAAUACCGCAUACGUCCUGAGGGAGAAAGCGGGGGAUCGCAAGACCUCGCGCGAUUGGAGUGGCCGAUGUCGGAUUAGCUAGUUGGUGGGGUAAAGGCCUACCAAGGCAACGAUCUGUAGCUGGUCUGAGAGGAUGAUCAGCCACACUGGGACUGAGACACGGCCCAGACUCCUACGGGAGGCAGCAGUGGGGAAUUUUGGACAAUGGGGGCAACCCUGAUCCAGCCAUUCCGCGUGAGUGAAGAAGGCCUUCGGGUUGUAAAGCUCUUUCGGCAGGAACGAAACGGCGAGCUCUAACAUAGCUUGCUAAUGACGGUACCUGAAGAAGAAGCACCGGCUAACUACGUG